rnacentral:rRNA from 1 species
AUGGCCUCAUCAAUGACAGAACCAGGUACAUUGCCAACCAUUCAAUUUCCUCUGACUUGGACUGAUGCAUUCAUGGAUGAUGGUGGCCUGCAUGUUCCUUCACAGUUAUUGAUUAAUCAUAGCCAUACAUUGUUGUUUAUCAUUUUCGUGCUUGCAAACAACUAUGAUGUUAACUGUAGGCACCGAAGACAUCUCAUCAUCCCACUAUUUUUAUCGCACUUUUUUGAAAUCAAUCUUCUGCAUUCAACCCGUGUGAACUUACCUCCUGAAUCAUCUUACUUAGCAAAUUCGUAUUUUCAUGCAGCAUUUAGGACGACCAUUAGAUCAAAGUAUGGUACUGCAAUUUUUUGUACUGUUCCACAGAUCGAUGGCGUAGCUAACACUCUUAAUUGUUCAUAA